CAACUAGUCCUAUUAUGGUAUAGGCUAUUUAAAUUUACCUUUAUGGAAAAAGGGAAAGAUAAUUCAAUUUCAGCAGUGGUGGUGGUGCAAUAGAUCUAUUGAUGGAAUGCGAUUUAUAAGAAAUUAAAACAAGAAAAAAUAAUCUUACAAUUGAUAAUAGAAAAUAUGGAAGAAGCUGGUGAAGUGCAAGCAGAGAUUUAUAAACCAAUCCUAAAACCAUCAUCUGGGCUUCUCAUAGUAAAGAAAUAGGUAGGAUAGCAUCA